AAUCAACAAAAGCAUCUGUAGCCCACGCCCAUCAGUUAGGCGAUCUUGUGGGCCCAACACCGACGGUCCGAGCCAUCGCGCUAUUCCCACCCACCUCAGCGCCUGAAUCUAUAUGGCGUGUGUGUUUGUGUACUAGUUAAAGGCUUUCACUUGCGCUAUUGUUUCGUGCCCAAAUCGGAAAAGUUGUUAAAUUUAUACAUAACUGCUUAGAAAUUUGUACUUACUCAAUCUAGAAGUUGCUGAGUGGCUUACAGAGUGUUGUUAGUUGGGUUAGCUUGAUUUGGCUAUGGAACUGUGCCAUUGAUAGGUUUGAUUGUGAUUUGAUUUCUUGCUUUGAGCUCCAGUUUGAUGAUGACUAGCUGAGGGGGGUGUUAUGUUGUGAUUAGAAUUGUGAAAGACAGAUAGAUCCUUAUCGAGCUCCCGUAAUUUGGCUAUGGAAAUGUGCCAUUGGUAGGGUUGAUUGUGAUAGAUCUCUUGCUUUGAUGGAACUGUGCCAAAGGUGGAUAAAUCCUCCUAAAGAGCGAGUAUUCUUGUUUCUUGUGCUCCCGGAAACAUCAAGUGUUAAUGCUUUUUGUGAACAUGGAUGAGAAAAUAAACUUCAUCUUAAGAGUGAGUUUAGUAGAAUCAGAAAGAAGAAGGAAAAAAUGUGUUUGACAGCAUAUAUUAUGGGUAAUGAUUUUGAUGGUCCUUCGAUGUUCGAAUGUGGAUCUGUUUUUACCUCUGCACAAGAACCUUGUGGUUGGCACUUUAGGAAAUUAGAUCAGUUUGUAAAUAACAUGACACUAUUAUAACUCGUAUGUGGAAAUAUGCUAAAUUAGUCCCCCAAAUAUUUGUACAUAUGGAGUCACCAAAUUUCCACAUGUUUUCUCAAGAUUUGUUAGUGCAAGAUUUCCGCCAAUGUGGUUGCUACAAUUGAGAAUGGCAAUCUCACUUUAUGCUGAACCUUGGUCUUUUCUCUCAUCUACCCUUGCCGCCACUCUGAAAAUAGUUUCUGAUAGAAGUUCUACACUCGGGCUUACUUAAUUAGCUUUUUUUCUGAACUUUGCUCCCAUCAUGAUUUUUUGACAGCUUGGGUGGUGGAGGUUGCUGAGAGUGCUGCUUCCUUGGUUGCCAGAUGGCAGGGGGUUGGUUUUACUCAUGAUGUGUUGAACACUGACAUUAUGAGCAUUUUGGGUCUUACCAUCAAUUGUGGUCUAUUUGGAUUUCUGGAUGUAUUUGAUCCAAGUUACACGCUGAAUACCACGGAUCUUCCUGGGAGGAGAUAUUGUUUUGCAAAUCAGCCUGAUAUUGGGUUGCGGAAUAUUGCACAAUUCACCAGAACUCUUGUAGCUGUCAAUUCACCAGAACUCUUGUAGCUGUCAAGUUGAUAGAUGAUAUGGAGGUGAAUUACGCAGUGUAAGGAUAUGGAACCAAAUUCAUGGAUGACUAUUAAACAGCUGAUCCCCGAAGUGGAUUACACAAACUUUUUUUGGUUGCUAUCCAAUAUCAAAGCUGAUCCUAACAUUCCCGAAGAGGAGUUAUUGAACCCACUAAAGGCUGUUCUAUUAGACAUUGGACAGUAGUGAAAGGAGGUAUGGAUCAGCUGGGUGAAAAUCUACGUAGAGGAGCUGGCCACAAGCGGCAUCUCAGAUGAGGAGAGGAAGGCAUCAAUGAAUGCGGCGAACCCUAAAUAUGUUCUCAGAAACUACUUGUGCCAGAGUGCCACCGAUGCGAUAUGCAGAUAGAUGGAUAGGGAAAAGGAAGAUCUGACCUGAGGGCAGCAAGAUCAUUGGCAAUUGGGGUGCAUAGGUAAAGAGAACAAGAAGGAGAGUAGGGAAAAAGCAACAAAAAGCAGAAAUAGAACGCAAAGAGAAAAAGCAAGGAUUGGCACCGACCCUAAACGGAAAUAGGCUUUGCGGCAGAAGAGAAAGCUUAGUUUUGUUGCUGUUCUCACUCAGGGAGAGAAUGACUCCCCUCGAUUGUUGGAUCAUUCACUUCACACAUGCGUUUUUGCCUUUCUCUCUUUCUCUCUGCCUUUUUUCCUCUCUCUCUCUAGUCUUAAAAAGCUUCAAACUUUUGGCUUCUGGGUAUUCAAAGGAAGAAGGAGGAGGAGGAAGAAGAAAUAGGUACAAUUAGAACAUGAGAUUAUCAAUUAACUUCAUUAACUCCUAUGUGAAUUAAAUGAUUGUUGAGUUGUAUUGGGUUUUCUUCUAAAUCUUUCAAAUUUUUCCAUUUGGGUUUUGUCUCUGAUAUCAUUUCUGGCAUUGGAUAGCUGCUGGACUUGCUUCUUCAUCACCA